rnacentral:rRNA from 1 species
GACGAACGCUUGCGGCGUUCUUAACACAUGCAAGUCGCACGGCAAGGCCCUGCUUUUGUGGGCUGCUCGAGUGGCGAACGGGUGAGUAACACGUGAUUAACCUGCCCUUGAUUUUGGUAUAACUUCACGAAACUGGGGCUAAUACCGGAUAGGAUCUCCUCCUGCAUGGUGGGCGUUGGAAAGUCUCGGCGGUUGGGGAUGGACUCGCGGCUUAUCAGCUUGUUGGUGGGGUAGUGGCUUACCAAGGCUUUGACGGGUCGCCGGCCAGAGAGGGUGACCGGCGUCAACGAGACUAAGAUAGGCCGCAGUAUCCUACAUUAGGAAGAAGAGGGGAAUAUUGAACAAAAGGUAAAAGUGUGAAUCUACAACGCGGCGUGUGUAAAGAAGGUCUUCAAGAAGAAAAAAGAAUACGCCUGAGACGAAGCGUAUGUGAAGGUAAUGGGUAAAGAAGCACCGGCUAAAUACGUG